GCGAGUCGAGAGGGGUCAGCCCUCGGCGCACUGCUCAGUAACACGCGGAUAAUCUGCCCUAAGGCGGGGAAUAAUCUCGGGAAACUGAGGAUAAUGCCCCAUAGCCCACGGAUGCUGGAACGCACCGUGGAUGAAAGCUCCGGCGCCUUAGGAUGAGUCUGCGGCCUAUCAGGUUGUAGUGGGUGUAACGGACCCCCUAGCCUUCGACGGGUACGGGCUUUGAGAGAAGUUGCCCGGAGAUGGGUUCUGAGACACGAACCCAGGCCCUACGGGGCGCAGCAGUUACGAAAACUUGGCAAUGCGGGAAACCGCGACCAGGGGACUCCAAGUGCUAAUACUUUGUAUUAGCCGUUCUUCUGUCUAAAAAACAGGAGAAGUAAGGGCUGGGUAAGACGGGUGCCAGCCGCCGCGGUAAUACCCGCAGCCCGAGUGGUG
rnacentral:rRNA from 1 species